UACAGAGGUCCCAAGCGUUGUUCGGAUUCACUGGGCGUAAAGCGCGCGUAGGCGGCUUUGUAAGUUAGAGGUGAAAGCCCGGGGCUCAACCCCGGAACUGCCUUUAAAACUGCAUCGCUUGAAUCCGGGAGAGGUGAGUGGAAUUCCGAGUGUAGAGGUGAAAUUCGUAGAUAUUCGGAAGAACACCAGUGGCGAAGGCGGCUCACUGGACCGGUAUUGACGCUGAGGUGCGAAAGCGUGGGGAGCAAACAGG
rnacentral:rRNA from 1 species